UCCGGUUUGUCACCGGCAGUCUUGCAUGAGUCCCCGGCCGAACCGCUGGCAACAUGCAACGGGGGUUGCGCUCGUUGCGGGACUUAACCCAACAUCUCACGACACGAGCUGACGACAGCCAUGCAGCACCUAGUUUCAGGCCCUUUCGGGCUGACCUAUUUCUAGGUCAUUCCUUAACUUUCAAGCCCUGGUAAGGUUCCGCGCGUAUCAUCGAAUUAAACCACAUGCUCCUCCGCUUGUGCGGGCCCCCGUCAAUUCCUUUGAGUUUCAGCCUUGCGGCCGUACUCCCCAGGUGGAUUACUUAAUGCUUUCGCUCAGACGCGUACAGUAUAUCGCACACAUCGAGUAAUCAUCGUUUAGGGCAUGGACUAC
rnacentral:misc_RNA from 1 species